GUGUAAUUCUUCCCUGUGGCCGCGUCAAAAACGCCAGCAUUUGGUUUAAACAAUGCGUAGUUCAAAGUCUCCGGCUUGAAACCAAAGUACGGGUAUGGAUUAACCAUGAAAGGAGACUUCGUUUUCCGAUGAAAGUCGAGAAUCGGAGCGAAUAUUCUCUGAUCGUAGCCUUUUCGAAACCGACCAGUACUCGGUGGCUCAGAUGAUGAUAAUAUACCUAAAGAGUGAGGAGUCGAGACUUUAAUAUCAGUGACGUUAGCGAGCUCGAGAGCUGAUUUGAGAGCUUUCAUGGCUGGUAAAGUGUGUGCUAUUAGCGAUUUAUCAGACGUAGCGAGGAUCUCGUUGCCCAUCGCAAUGUAUUUGAUGAUUGUUUUUGGGUGAAAGGGUAAAAUGUUGUUGGCGAUCCAUGCCUGAGCGGCUGGAAGCUUAGCUAGAGAAGGGAUGUCUCCAUUGCCGACGGUGACGGUUACUGAAAUCCCGGUGCUGGCAAAGGCACGGAGGAUGUCGGGGUUGGCGUCGAAUAUCUUGAUACGGUCGAUGGUGGUUUGAGUUUUGAGGAAACUGGCAACUUGAGUGGGUUGAGGAAGGUUAUCGGCGACGGUGCCAUAGUUUACACCGACUGAGUAGGCGGCGGUGGAGAGGCGGAGGAGGAAGAGGUAGGAGGUGAGGAAUAGAAAGAGUUGGGGAAAAGAGUCAACUACAGAGAUAGAAGGUUUUGCCAUUUUUCGAAUGAAGGUGGGAGAC
rnacentral:misc_RNA from 1 species